GCCCCCGUAGUCCAACGGGCAGAGACAGGAAACUUAAAAUUUCCACAGUGUGGGUUCGAAUCCCACCGGGGGCA
rnacentral:tRNA from 1 species